UACGUAGGGUGCGAGCGUUAAUCGGAAUUACUGGGCGUAAAGCGUGCGCAGGCGGUUUUGUAAGCCAGUCGUGAAAUCCCCGGGCUUAACCUGGGAAUGGCGAUUGGGACUGCAAGGCUGGAGUAUGGCAGAGGAGACUGGAAUUCCUGGUGUAGCAGUGAAAUGCGUAGAUAUCAGGAGGAAUACCGAUGGCGAAGGCAGGUCUCUGGGCUGAUACUGACGCUCAUGCACGAAAGCGUGGGGAGCAAACAGG
rnacentral:rRNA from 1 species